AAGGCUCAUUAAGUCCGUUAGGGACGAGGCAGCAGUAGAGAAUAUUGUGCAAUAUACGGCAGUAUGACACAGAGAGCACACGCCCUCUUGGCCUGUCCAACUAAGUGCCAGCAGACGCGGUUAGACUUAGGGGCCAAGCCUUUAUAAGCAAAGGGGCGUAAAGGGUGUGUAGGCCGACUGCCCCACCCCCCCCCAAGGUGGUAAAUGGAAUUUUUCUGUAGCGGUAGAAUGUGCGGAUAGAAAAUAGAACCCCAAAAGCAGAAGCAAUUUACCGCAGGGCGGGAGGGGGCCCCCUAGGGCGCCCCCCGGGCUACGGGCUGAAACACGAGGGUGUGGGGAACAAACAGGAUUAGAGACCCUGGUAGUCCACACUGUAAACGAUGGAGAAAAUGCGAAUGCAGCCCCGAAAGGCAGCAAUCUCCCGCCUGAGUAGUACGAUCGCAAGAUUAAAAUUCAAAAAAUUUGGCUGUUCACCAUUUCGAUUAGAGGAGCGUGUAGUUUAAUUCGAUAAACCGCGAGAUACCUUACCCAAACUUGAAUCCUUGAGGAUUCCAAGGAAUCCUUAUGGACCGGUAUUGCAUGGCCGUCGUCAGUUCGUGUAUGAAACCUUAAACGGACCCAACCCGAGGAUUAGCCGCGGAUGAAGUCAGGUCUUAUGGUCCCAAUGUUUGGGGAUAAUAUGCGCUACAUUUUCUUAUACAAUGGGAAACCUGGGAGGUGAAACCCAAAAGUGAGAGUUCGGUAGGCUAUUGGAAGAUGGCCGAAAGUUGAAUUUAAUAGUAAUCGGAAAGUAUAGCGUUCCGGUGAAAUGGUCUAGGUGUUAGCACAAAUCGCCCGUCACCUUAACUUAGGAUGAUGGUUCGGACGCCGCCGCGCCCCCACGGGCUCCGGCGGUUACGGGCCCCUACGAAGUUAAGCA
rnacentral:rRNA from 1 species